UGGGGAAUUUUGCGCAAUGGGGGAAACCCUGACGCAGCAACGCCGCGUGACCGAUGAAGCUUUUCGGAGUGUAAAGGUCUGUCGUAAGGGAAGAAAAGUUUGGAUGUAAAUAAUGUUCGAACCUGACGGUACCUUACAAGAAAGCACCGGCUAACUUCGUGCCAGCAGCCGCGGUAAUACGAGGGGUGCAAGCGUUGUCCGGAAUCACUGGGCGUAAAGGGUCCGUAGGCGUCCCAAUAAGUCAUUUGUAAAAUACACCGGCUUAACCGGUGGCCUGCAUUUGAAACUAUUGGGAUAGAGUAUAGGAGAGGAAAGUGGAAUUCCUGGUGUAGCGGUGACAUGCGUAGAUAUCAGGAGGAACACCAAUGGCGAAGGCAGCUUUCUGGCCUAUUACUGACGCUGAGGGACGAAAGCGUGGGGAGCGAACAGG
rnacentral:rRNA from 1 species